rnacentral:pre_miRNA from 1 species
CUGGAUUGUAUUGCAGUCAAAUGCCAUUCUGAGAUUGUAUUGUCAGAAUGGCAUUUGACUGCAAUACAAUCUCAG